UACGGGGGGGCAAGCGUUGUUCGGAAUUACUGGGCGUAAAGGGCGCGUAGGCGGCCUUCUAAGUCGGACGUGAAAUCCCUCGGCUUAACCGAGGAACUGCGUCCGAGACUGAAAGGCUUGAAUCCGGGAGAGGGAUGUGGAAUUCCAGGUGUAGCGGUGAAAUGCGUAGAUAUACUGGAGGAACACCGGUGGCGAAGGCGGCAUCCUGGACCGGCAUUG
rnacentral:rRNA from 1 species